UACAGAGGGUGCAAGCGUUGUUCGGAAUUAUUGGGCGUAAAGGGCGCGUAGGCGGUGCCACAAGUCACCUGUGAAAAUCUCCGGGGCUUUAACUCGGACCUGCAGGCGAAACUGUGGUGGCUGGAGUGUGGGAGAGGUGCGUGGAAUUCCCGGUGUAGCGGUGAAAUGCGGUAGAUAUGGGAGGAACACCUGUGGCGAAAAGCGGCGCACUGGACCAUA
rnacentral:rRNA from 1 species